rnacentral:rRNA from 1 species
AUUGUACGCUGGCGGCAGGCCUAACACAUGCAAGUCGAACGGUAGCACAGAGAGCUUGCUCUCGGGUGACGAGUGGCGGACGGGUGAGUAAUGUCUGGGAAACUGCCCGAUGGAGGGGGAUAACUACUGGAAACGGUAGCUAAUACCGCAUAACGUCGCAAGACCAAAGUGGGGACCUUCGGGCCUCACACCAUCGGAUGUGCCCAGAUGGGUUUAGCUAGAAGGUGGGGGAAUGGCUCACCUAGGGGACGAUCCCUAGCUGGUCUGAGAGGAUGACCAGCCAAACUGGAACUGAGACACGGUCCAGACUCCGACGGGAGGCAGCAGUGGGGAAUAUUGCACAAUGGGCGCAAGCCUGAUGCAGCCAUGCCGCGUGUAUGAAGAAGGCCUUCGGGUUGUAAAGUACUUUCAGCGGGGAGGAAGGCGGUGAAGUUAAUAGCUUCACCGAUUGACGUUACCCGCAGAAGAAGCACCGGCUAACUCCGUGCCAGCCGCCGCCGUAA